GAUGAACGCUAGCUACAGGCUUAACACAUGCAAGUCGAGGGGCAGCGGGAUUGAAGCUUGCUUCAAUUGCCGGCGACCGGCGCACGGGGUGAGUAACGCGUAUCCAACCUUCCGCUUACUCGGGGAUAGCCUUUCGAAAGAAAGAUUAAUACCCGAUGGUAUCUUAAGCACGCAUGAGAUUAAGAUUAAAGAUUUAUCGGUAAGCGAUGGGGAUGCGUUCCAUUAGGCAGUUGGCGGGGUAACGGCCCACCAAACCUACGAUGGAUAGGGGUUCUGAGAGGAAGGUCCCCCACAUUGGAACUGAGACACGGGUCCAA
rnacentral:rRNA from 1 species